GAUGAACGCUGGCUACAGGCUUAACACAUGCAAGUCGAGGGGAAACGACGGGGAAGCUUGCUUCCCCGGGCGUCGACCGGCGCACGGGUGAGUAACGCGUAUCCAACCUGCCUCUGACUGAGGGAUAACCCGUCGAAAGUCGGCCUAAUACCUCAUGGCAUCGUCUGCGGGCAUCCAACGACGAUUAAAGAUUUCAUCGGUCAGAGAUGGGGAUGCGUCUGAUUAGCUUGUUGGCGGGGUAACGGCCCACCAAGGCGACGAUCAGUAGGGGUUCUGAGAGGGAGGUCCCCCACAUUGGAACUGAGACACGGUCCAAACUCCUACGGGAGGCAGCAGUGAGGAAUAUUGGUCAAUGGGCGAGAGCCUGAACCAGCCAAGUAGCGUGCAGGAUGACGGCCCUAUGGGUUGUAAACUGCUUUUAUGCGGGGAUAAAGUGAGGGACGUGUCCUUCAUUGCAGGUACCGCAUGAAUAAGGACCGGCUAAUUCCGUG
rnacentral:rRNA from 1 species